rnacentral:rRNA from 1 species
CAGAGCGAACGUUAGCGGCAGGCUUAACACAUGCAAGUCGAGCGAGAAAGGGGCUUCGGCUCCGAGUAAAGCGGCGGACGGGUGCGUAACACGUGGAUAAUCUGCCUCGUGGCGGGGGACAACAGUCCGAAAGGACUGCUAAUACCGCAUGUCAGGUCGGAAACUCCGGUUUCUGACGAAAAAGAGGGCACCCGCAAGGGGCUCUCACCACGAGAUGAGUCCGCGUCCCAUCAGCUAGUUGGCGGUGUAAUAGACCACCAAGGCUUAGACGGGUAGCUGGUCUGAGAGGAUGACCAGCCACACUGGGACUGAGACACGGCCCAGACUCCUACGGGAGGCAGCAGUGGGGAAUAUUGGACAAUGGGCGAAAGCCUGAUCCAGCCAUGCCGCGUGAGUGAUGAAGGCC